GGGUUGUGAGGUUAAGCGACUAAGCGUACACGGUGGAUGCCCUGGCAGUCAGAGGCGAUGAAGGACGUGCUAAUCUGCGAUAAGCGUCGGUAAGGUGAUAUGAACCGUUAUAACCGGCGAUUUCCGAAUGGGGAAACCCAGUGUGAUUCGUCACACUAUCAUUAACUGAAUCCAUAGGUUAAUGAGGCGAACCGGGGGAACUGAAACAUCUAAGUACCCCGAGGAAAAGAAAUCAACCGAGAUUCCCCCAGUAGCGGCGAGCGAACGGGGAGCAGCCCAGAGCCUGAAUCAGUGUGUGUGUUAGUGGAAGCGUCUGGAAAGGCGCGCGAUACAGGGUGACAGCCCCGUACACAAAAAUGCACAUGCUGUGAGCUCGAUGAGUAGGGCGGGACACGUGGUAUCCUGUCUGAAUAUGGGGGGACCAUCCUCCAAGGCUAAAUACUCCUGACUGACCGAUAGUGAACCAGUACCGUGAGGGAAAGGCGAAAAGAACCCCGGCGAGGGGAGUGAAAAAGAACCUGAAACCGUGUACGUACAAGCAGUGGGAGCACGCUUAGGCGUGUGACUGCGUACCUUUUGUAUAAUGGGUCAGCGACUUAUAUUCUGUAGCAAGGUUAACCGAAUAGGGGAGCCGAAGGGAAACCGAGUCUUAACUGGGCGUUAAGUUGCAGGGUAUAGACCCGAAACCCGGUGAUCUAGCCAUGGGCAGGUUGAAGGUUGGGUAACACUAACUGGAGGACCGAACCGACUAAUGUUGAAAAAUUAGCGGAUGACUUGUGGCUGGGGGUGAAAGGCCAAUCAAACCGGGAGAUAGCUGGUUCUCCCCGAAAGCUAUUUAGGUAGCGCCUCGUGAAUUCAUCUCCGGGGGUAGAGCACUGUUUCGGCAAGGGGGUCAUCCCGACUUACCAACCCGAUGCA
rnacentral:rRNA from 1 species